GGCGAACGGGUGAGUAACACGUGAGUAACCUGCCCUUGACUCUGGGAUAAGCCUGGGAAACUGGGUCUAAUACCGGAUAUGACUCCUCAUCGCAUGGUGGGGGGUGGAAAGCUUUUGUGGUUUUGGAUGGACUCGCGGCCUAUCAGCUUGUUGGUGAGGUAAUGGCUCACCAAGGCGACGACGGGUAGCCGGCCUGAGAGGGUGACCGGCCACACUGGGACUGAGACACGGCCCAGACUCCUACGGGAGGCAGCAGUGGGGAAUAUUGCACAAUGGGCGAAAGCCUGAUGCAGCGACGCCGCGUGAGGGAUGACGGCCUUCGGGUUGUAAACCUCUUUCAGUAGGGAAGAAGCGAAAGUGACGGUACCUGCAGAAGAAGCGCCGGCUAACUACGUGCCAGCAGCCGCGGUAAUACGUAGGGCGCAAGCGUUAUCCGGAAUUAUUGGGCGUAAAGAGCUCGUAGGCGGUUUGUCGCGUCUGCCGUGAAAGUCCCGGGCUCAACUCCGGAUCUGCGGUGGGUACGGGCAGACUAGAGUGAUGUAGGGGAGACUGGAAUUCCUGGUGUAGCGGUGAAAUGCGCAGAUAUCAGGAGGAACACCGAUGGCGAAGGCAGGUCUCUGGGCAUUAACUGACGCUGAGGAGCGAAAGCAUGGGGAGCGAACAGGAUUAGAUACCCUGGUAGUCC
rnacentral:rRNA from 1 species